UAGUAUUUAGGGAUUUUCUAGAAUCUAGG
rnacentral:piRNA from 1 species